UUGAAUGUGUGGGCGGAGGAUAAACGGGCAGCGAGGUUGAAUCUGUGGGAGGGAUAAACGGGCAGCGAGGUUGAAUCUGUUGGUGGAGAAUAAACAGGCAGCGAGAUUGAAUCUGUGGAUAAUGAUAAACGGGCACCGAUGUUGAAUCUGUGGGUGGGGAUAAACAGGCACCGAGGUUGAAUCUGUGGGCAGAGAAUAAACAGGCAGCGAGGUUGAAUGUGUGGGCGGAGGAUAAACAGGCAGCAAGGUUGAAUGUGUGUGUGGGCGGAGGAUAAACAGGCAGCGAGGUAGAAUCUGUGGGCGGGGAUAAACAGGCAGCGAGGUUGAAUCUGUGGGUGGGGAUAAACAGGCAGCGAGGUUGAAUCUGUGGCCGGGGCUAAACAGGCAGAGAGGUUGAAUCUGUGGGUGGGUAUAAACAGGCAGUGAGGUAGAAUCUGUGGGCAGGGAUUAACAGGCAGCGAGGUUGAAUCUGUGGACGUUAGAUUAACAGGCAGCGAUGCUGAAUCUGUGCUCGAGGAUAAACAGGCAGCGAGGUAGAUUCUGUGGCCGGGGAUAGUCUGUGGGAGGGGAUAAACAGGCAGAAUCUGUUACAUCCUAGACUCUUACAUUCCAGAAGAUUUUGUUUUGGCAGACUUGGUUCAAUAUAAGAUGUUCUUAGACUAACUACAAAGUUUUAUUACAUUUCUUAAUUAUAAGUGUAAAAAAAAUCUGUGUAUUUAUGUAGAAUUUUUUGGCAGGGCUAAACAGGCAGCGAGGUUGAAUCUGUGGGCGGGGAUAAACAAGCAGCAAGGUUAAAUCUGUGGGCAGAGGAUAAACAGGAUGUGCGGUAGAAUCUGUGGGCGGAGCUAAACAAGCAACGCGGUAGAAUCUGUGGAUGGGUAUAUGGUCAGCGAGGUUGAAUCUGUGGGUGGGGAUUAACAGGCAGCCAUGUUGAAUCUGUGCCCUGGGUUAAACGGACAGCGAGGUAGAAUCUGUGGCCGGAAAUAAUCUGUGGGAGGGGAUAAACAAGCAGCAAAGUUGAAUUUGUGGGUGGCGGAUAAACAAGCAGCGAGGUUGAAUCUGUUGACGGAGGAUAAACAAGCAGUGCAGUAGAAUCUGUGGGCGGGGCUAAACAGGCAGCGAGGUAGAACCUGUGGACGGGAAUAAAAACGCAGAGAGGUUGAAACUCUGGGCGGGGAUUAACAGUCAGUGAUGUUGAAUCUGUUGGCAGGGAUUAACAGGUAGCAUGGUUGAAUCUGUGGGUGGUAGGGGUGUAACGGUACGUGUAUUCGUACCGGAGCGUUUCGGUACAGGGCUUUCGGUAUGGUGCACGUGUGUACCGAAUGACCGAAUGCAAUAUUUUGUAUGCGUAACAUAUACAUUUUCGUGUUUUCAAACGAACAUAAUAAGUGGCAGAAGUCUCCACGUUCAGCGCAAAUCCCGCCCUGCAGCUGAUUCUAAGGCCGGUGACACAGUGGUUGUGUGGCGUGAGCGUGCGUUUCGGCUGCGUGUCAGUUGUGUGACGGCUGCUUCGUGUUUUCUGUGUCUUUACACACCAGAAUCGUGCCUGACGCGGCGCUGGCACACUGCUGCUACAGUGGGUGACAUAGAGUGAGGCAGACGAGGCUGACAGACGAGGAUCUUGUGUUCAUGACAGCAAUAUCUAUACUUCAUGAUGAGCAUAAAUCUAAAGCCUACUGAUAAAGGACACCGUCAACAGUAUUGACGGCAAAAUAGACUAUAUUUGACAGGUGCAAUAUGCCAGUGUGUCACAGGUCUAAAAACUGAAACUGUUGAUGCUGCAACUUUACAGUUUGGAAAAUUUAUAUAUAUUUUUUAAAUAUGAGCAGGCCUACAAGCUGGUAUUGGUAAUACACUGUAAUUAUAGUUAUUUAUUUAUAUUUUUGUUAAAGUUCAUUAUAUGAUGUUGGUUUGAGACUGAGAGUAUUUUAUUUAGUGGAGAACUUUGCAGCAGUAUUUUAUUACUUAUUCUUUUUUUAUUUUAUGUAUAUUUUAUUAAAAAGUAUUUUAAAAAGUGUAAACAAAUUGUAACAAAACAAGUUUAUAGUAAUAAGCAACCUGCAGUUUAAUGUUUGCAUUUCUUUCCCUUACUGUACCGAAAAUGAACCAAACUGUGACUUUAAAACCGAGGUACGUACCGAGCCGUGAUUUUUGCAUACCGUUACACCCCUAGUGGGCAGGGAUAAACAGGCAGCGAGGUUGAAGCUGUGGGUGGGGAUUAACAGGCAGCGAUGUUGAAUCUGUAGGCAGGGAUGAACAGGCAGCGAGGUAGAAACUGUGGGCAAGGAUAAACGGGCAGCGAGGUAGAAGCUGUGGGCGGGGAUAAACAGGCAGCGAGGUAGAAUCUGUGGCCGUGGAUAAACAGGCAGUGAGGUAGAAGCUGUGGCCGGGGAUAAACAGGCAUCAAUGUUGAAUCUGUGGGUGGGGAUAAACGGGCAGCGAGGCAGAAUCUGUGGCCGGGGAUAAACAGGCAGUGAGGUAGAAUCUGUGGCCGGGGAUAAACAGGCAGCGAGGUAGAAUCUGUGGCCGGGGAUGAACAGGCAGCGAGGUUGAAUUUGUGGGCGGGAAUAAACAGGCAGCGAAGUAGAAUCUGUGGGCGGGGAUAAAAAGGCAGCGAGGUAGAAUCUGUGGGCGGGGAUAAACAGGCAGCGAGGUAGAAUUUGUGGGAGGGGAUAAUCAGGCAGCGAGGUAGAUUCUGUGGGCGGGGAUAAAAAGGCAGUGAGGUUGAAUCUGUGGGUGGGGAUAAACAGGCAGCGGGAUAGAAUCUGUGGGCGGGGAUUAACAGGCAGCGAUGUUGAAUCUGUGGGUGGGGAUAAUCUGUGGAAGGGGAUAAACAGGCAGCGAGGAAUCUGUUGGCAGGGCUAAACAGGUAGCGAGGUAGAAUCUGUGGGCGAGGCUAAACAGGCAGCGAGGUAGAAUCUGUGGGCGGGGCUAAACAGGCAGCAAGGUAGAAUCUGUGGCCGGGGCAAAACAGGCAGAGCGGUACAAUCUGUGGCCAAGGAUAAACAGGAAUUGAGGUAGAAUCUGUGGCCGAGAAUAAACAGGCAGCAAGGUUGAAUUGGUGGGAGGGGUUAAACAGACCGUGAUGUCAAUCUUCUUAUGCGUAGUUGGUUCUUAUUCACACUGUUACGUCUGUGUUUUUCUCACACAACCUCUGUGAUAAUUCCAGAGCAAAUUACCUACCGUUUUUCAGCAAACUCAGUGAUCCUCUGAGAAAACUAAUCCCGUCCGAAUGCGAAUGUCUGUGAUUGCCGGUGAUAUUUUAUUUCACAACGUGUUUCCUUGUGUGUUUUGUCCAACGUGAAUUAUCGUAGAUGCUCUUACUGCGCGGAUGUUUGAUAUAUUUGCUUAGAGGCAAAUAAAUAAUAAUAAAAAAAUAAUACAAUUAAUAAAAUCAAGAGCAAGAUCGCGUAAACUGUUAAUACCAGCUAUUGUAAUAUCAGCAUCAGGUAAGAUUACUCACGUUCAUUUAUUUAACGUUACAUUUAAUUAAAAAAUAAAAAAUAAAUAAAAAGGAAAACAAGUUAAACUAAAGGAACCACACAUUAACAUGGUUUUACUAUACUAGCCAUUUAGUAUUUAUUGUGUAAUAAUACUAAGGCAAUCAUUCUGAAUGAAUGCAAUGCACGCAUACAGAGUGCGUGAUCUCUGUGACGCCCAGAUGCUCAAAUCAGACCCUCCCACCUCUGUAAUAAACACAGAGAUACUAGUCCCGUCCGAAUUGGUACAUGAAAAUCACAGACGUCAGGUGGUAAGAAUCGAAACUCAAACGUAGUUUAGAAAACUAGUCCCGUCCGAAUAGUGCUUUAGAGUCUUACAUUCAAGAAAAUUUUGUUUUGGCAGACUGGGUUCAAUAUAAGCUGUUCUUAGACUAACAACAAAGAUUUAUUAUGUUUCUUGAUAAUAAGUGUAAAAAAAUCUGUGAAUCUAUGUAGAAUCUGUUGGCAGGGCUAAACAGGCAGCGAGGUUGAAUCUGUGGGCGGAGAUAAACGGGCAGCAAAGUUGAAUCUGUGGGCGGCGGAUAAACAAGCAGCAAUGUUGAAUCUGUGUGCGGAGGAUAAUCAAGGAGUGCAGUAGAAUCUGUGGGCGGGGCUAAACAGGCAGCGAGAUAGAACCUGUGGACAGGAAUAAACACACAGCGAGGUUGAAUCUCUGGGUGGGGAUUAACAGUCAGUGAUGUUGAAUCUGUGGGCAGGGAUUAACAGGUGGCGAGGUUGAAUCUGUGGCCGGGGAUAAAAAGG